GUUGAAUCCAUUGGAGCUAAAAUUUUCUAUCUUCUUACCAUUAUAGAAAACCAACUGGUGAAUCAUUUUCAUCACUCGGGAAAAUAGCCCUGUUGAAAUCUAGCAGAAAAGAAGGAUCUAAAAUUCAUAUGAUACUUAUCAUGUAUGCUUUCUUUUUUUGCACUAGUUUCCUAACAAAAUUAAAUUUUCUAUCUUCAAGUUGAAUCAAUCGGAGCUAAAAUUUUCUUUCUGCUUACCAUUGUAGAAAACCAAUUGUUGAUCAUUUUUUAUCAGUUGGGAAACUCGCCCUGUUGAAAUCUGGUGGAGAAGUAGUGUUCUUUACCUUUAUGUUAACCAAUGUGAUUUUGCUUUUCAAUAUACAGGGUGGAGAACCGUGUUCCAUCUGG
rnacentral:misc_RNA from 1 species